CAGUCGCCGCGGUAAUACGGAGGGGGCUAGCGUUGUUCGGAAUUACUGGGCGUAAAGCGCACGUAGGCGGCUUUGUAAGUUAGAGGUGAAAGCCCGGAGCUCAACUCCGGAAUUGCCUUUAAGACUGCAGGGCUAGCAGGUGAGAGAGGUGAGUGGAAUUCCGAGUGUAGAGGUGAAAUUCGUAGAUAUUCGGAAGAACACCAGUGGCGAAGGCGGCUCACUGGCUCAUACUGGACGCUGAGGUGCGAAAGCGUGGGGAGCAAACAGGAUUAGAGACCCCCGUAGUCCCUGUCUCUUAUAA
rnacentral:rRNA from 1 species